rnacentral:rRNA from 1 species
UACGUAGGGACCAAGCGUUGUUCGGAUUUACUGGGCGUAAAGGGCGCGUAGGCGGCAAUUCAAGUCAUCUGUGAAAUCUCCGGGCUUAACCCGGAACGGUCAGAUGAUACUGCUUUGCUAGAGUGCGGAAGGGGCAAUCGGAAUUCUUGGUGUAGCGGUGAAAUGCGUAGAUAUCAAGAGGAACACCUGAGGUGAAGACGGGUUGCUGGGCCGAGAUUGACGCUGAGGCGCGAAAGCCAGGGGAGCAAACGGG